UACGGAGGGUGCGAGCGUUGUUCGGAAUCACUGGGCGUAAAGCGCGUGUAGGCGGCCUUGUAAGUUUGGUGUGAAAGCCCGGGGCUUACCCCCGGAAGUGCACUGGAGACUGCAAGGCUAGAGUACCGGAGAGGAAAGUGGAAUUCCUGGUGUAGCGGUGAAAUGCGUAGAUAUCAGGAGGAACACCGGUGGCGAAGGCGGCUUUCUGGACGGAUACUGACGCUGAGACGCGAAAGCGUGGGGAGCAAACAGG
rnacentral:rRNA from 1 species